rnacentral:rRNA from 1 species
CCUACGGGUGGCAGCAGUGAGGAAUAUUGGUCAAUGGACGCAAGUCUGAACCAGCCAUGCAGCGUGAAGGAUGACUGCCCUAUGGGUUGUAAACUUCUUUUAUAUGGGAAUAAAAUGUUCCACGUGUGGGAUUUUGUAUGUACCAUAUGAAUAAGGAUCGGCUAACUCCGUGCCAGCAGCCGCGGUAAUACGGAGGAUCCGAGCGUUAUCCGGAUUUAUUGGGUUUAAAGGGUGCGUAGGUGGAUUGUUAAGUUAGUGGUGAAAGUUUGGGGCUCAACCGUAAAAUUGCAGUUGAAACUGGCAGGCUUGAGUACAGUAGAGGUAGGCGGAAUGUGUGGUGUAGCGGUGAAAUGCUUAGAUAUCACGAAGAACUCCGAUUGCGAAGGCAGUUCACUGGACUGCAACUGACAUUGAGGCUCGAAAGUGUGGGUAGCAAACAGGAUUAGAUACCCCAGUAGUC